CUGAAAUUCGCCUUCAUGAAGCCGGAAUUGCUGUAAUGGCAGGUCAGCAUACUGCCGUGAAUACGUUCCCGGGCCUUGUACACACCGCCCGUCACACCAUGAGAGUUGGGGAUACCCGAAGCCUGUGAGCUAACUAUUUAUAGGAGCAGCAGUCGAAGGUAGAAUCAAUGAUUGGGGUGAAGUCGUAACAAGGUACC
rnacentral:rRNA from 1 species